GACGAACCGUGCGAACGUUGUUCGGAAUCACUGGGCUUAAAGGGCGCGUAGGCGGGUCACCAAGUCUGUGGUGAAAGCCUCCAGCUUAACUGGAGAAGUGCCGUGGAUACUGGUGGUCUCGAGGGAGGUAGGGGCAUGUGGAACUUCCGGUGGAGCGGUGAAAUGCGUUGAUAUCGGAAGGAACGCCGGUGGCGAAAGCGGACUGCUGGACCUUUUCUGACGCUGAGGCGCGAAAGCCAGGGGAGCGAACGGG
rnacentral:rRNA from 1 species